UACGGAGGGUCCAAGCGUUAUCCGGAAUCAUUGGGCGUAAAGCGCGUGUAGGCGGCUUGAUAAGUCUGCUCUGAAAGCCCGGGGCUCAACCCUGGGAGGCGGGUGGAUACUGUCGAGCUCGAGUCCGGAAGAGGCGAGUGGAAUUCCUGGUGUAGCGGUGAAAUGCGCAGAUAUCAGGAGGAACACCAAUGGCGAAGGCAGCUCGCUGGGACGGUACUGACGCUGAGACGCGAAAGCGUGGGGAGCAAACAGG
rnacentral:rRNA from 1 species